rnacentral:rRNA from 1 species
UACAGAGGGUGCGAGCGUUAAUCGGAAUUACUGGGCGUAAAGCGUGCGUAGACGGUAGCGUAAGUCAGAUGUGAAAGCCCCGGGCUCAACCUGGGAAUUGCAUUUGAGACUGCUCUGCUUGGGUGCGGAAGAGGGAAGCGGAAUUUCCGGUGUAGCGGUGAAAUGCGUAGAGAUCAGGAGGAAUACCGAUGGCGAAGGCAGGUCUCUGGGCUGAUACUGACGCUCAUGCACGAAAGCGUGGGGAGCAAACAGG